AAAAGUAUCAAUUAGCUAAACAAAAGUUCCUUUUCUUCCCUAAGAACAUAGGGCUGGCUGCACAGGCUUCACAGAGCCUUGCUAAAAAGCCUGUCUUCUUCUUUCUUAUAGCUCCCUUUUAGGUACAGAAAGGUCACUGUCAGGUCUCCCCAAAGCCUUACCUUCGCCAGGCUGAACAGCCCCAGGAAUCUCAGCCUGCCCACAUAGGAGAGGUGUUCCAACUCUUGGAUUUCUUUUGUGGCUCUCCUCUGGAUGUGCUCCAACAGGUCUGUGUCUCUCCUGUAUUGAGGACUCCACAUCAGGAUGCAAUACUCCAGUGCUCCUUUUCUGAGGACUAUGGGCUAAACUCCAUUAGUGAGCAAAGAUCACUAAAGCUCUGCCACUGAAGUCAGAGCUGCCUUCUGUCAGCAAAGCCAAGAGUUACUUGGAAUUGUAUGGAUGGGGAACAGGAUAGAUCCAGGGAAAAAGAAGUGAAUCUGCGGAGAUUUCUUUUAACUGGAGUAUUGCCCAAGGUGGAUGUUUUGCUGCUGCCCAUGAAAAAUAAGUGUGAUUUUCACCCUCCAGCUGCAAAUAGGAACAAGUAUCAUUUGUAAGGGAGUUGUGGAUCUUUCAUAAUGCAAUGUUGUUUCAGGUGGAUUGACCUAAGCCUGAGAACAUUAAGCUUCCCAUCCUUUCCAGAAGCAAAGGUGUAUUCCAACAGUUCAGACCACUUCAGCUAUUCUUGCAUGAAGAAUGUGCUGAAGAUUAUUUCAUCCUGAAUUUUGUUGUGAUCUAGAAACAUGGAGAAAGAACUACAAGAACAACCACGUUUCUUUUCAGUGAUGUCCUUGUGUAACAUGGAGCUUUUAUUUUAACUUGAAAAGUAAAUAACAUUUGACCAUUAAUAGAUCUUCUUAAAAGUUGAGUUUGAAGGAUAGAUCAGAACCUUGUCUUGAUUGUUAUUUAAUCUAACUUAAUCUUUUAUGAAUGUAACAUGGAUAGACACAAUUUAGACAUGUAAAAAAGCAAGUGUCAACAGUUUACAGGCUGGUUCGGCCUGGUUCCAUGACUAGUGGGGUGGAGGGACCCACAGACAUGUACGUUUGUAUGGUUAUGACCAGUGCGGUUGCUCCCUGCUGAGGGAUGUUACCAUGUAGCUGAAGCAACAUGGCCUGGAGAUACUGAUGCCCACUCACUACAGCUGGCAGGUGCACCUUACUGAUGCUUUAGUGGAGAAAUGUGAUCUUUUAGAAUUUCAGAUGUUGCAGAUAACACAACAGAAAUAACUUCAGCCAGGAUAUGAAAUAGAAUAAAAUUAUCCUGAAACCCUGCAGUUCAUGCUGUCUCUGUUUAAGUGCUUGAGAGUGUCUUGAGUUCAUGCAAGUUAUACUGUAUUUGUAAACUCUACUAGAAGUAGCAGUAGUUGCUAUCCAUUUUGAAAAGAUCUGUGACAUUAUGUAAGUGUUUUACUGAAGAAAGGAUGAGUUGCCGAACUCAAUCAGAAGCCUUGCAAUUGUUGUGACGCUGUUUCCUUUCUCCCCAUGCCCUCUCCUUCCUCUUCCUUUCAGUUCAUUCAGGCAUGAUUUAGGGUUAUUGAAGUAGUAAGAUCUGCUAGAAGACAAUGGAAGCAAAAAGAAGAAAUUAGAGCAGAAGAAAAUGAGGAACAGAGAAUGUGGAAAAAUUCCAGGAAUGAGAAAGAGACAGAAAACACAGAAGAAAGGCGGUAUAGACAGAAAAGAAAACUGUCUUUAACUAUUAUUGAGCAGGUAAUCUCUUUCAAAUUCUGGAAGAAAUAGAACCAAAGUUGAUGAGAGGCUUUUCCUUCAAUUAUUUAAGCUGCUUGUUUUUAAAACGCUAAAUGUAUUAGUGUAUGAGAAAACUUUAAAUGAAAAAAAACAUUAAGGAAGACAUGUACAUUGUACUUUAUUUCCUCUUUUUUCCUGUGUAAAAUAAAACAGUUAACGUUAAGAAUAUGAAAAACCUUAUUAAAACAGAUAAAUUUAUGUAAAAAUAUGUAAUUACUUUGAAUUAUUUAAAGUUUGGUUACAGUUUCAAGUUACUUGUUAAUUAUUUAUAUUCUAUACUUAAAUGAUUCCUCUUAUGUAAUGCCCUUGAAUAAUAGAAAUAGUGAUGCAACUUUAGAAUGGAGAUAAAUAACUUUGACUAGUUUAAUUGCUUGAAAUUUUUCUUGGAUUUGUUUUGAAUGCAACAAAUGUUCCCAUGUACUGGCGCUCCCUUUUUUGCCUAGUAUGUUAGGGACUUGAUUCCUCCUCUGAAUGACAAUUUUCCAAUGUCAUGAUACAUGACUGAAGGGAUGGGUGUAUUUAUUCUAUUUUGAUUCAAUUUCAUUUCAUAUCACAUACGUAUGUAUUCAUUCAGGUGAUGUCAGAUGCUACAGUCGUUCCACUUAAUAGAGAAUUGAGAAAUCUGUUUGUAUUCACCAUUACAGUUGCUGCUCCAGACAGAAUCCUAAACACUAUCUUGUAGUGUAUGCAUGAGUGAGCUGCUCUCUGGAUCGUCUGACUCUGCUGUGCUCUGUGAUGUGCUGCAUGUUCAGGGACAACAAUGGGAGUGUGCAACAUUGCUACAUCCACUAAAUUAUAACAUUGUUCUUUGUUUAUGGCCCAGUGGAAAAUUUAAGUGUCUUGUAAAAAGAUGGAACAUAUUCAACAGGAAAUAAUGGAAAUUCUCCCUAAUCCAUGUUUGAUGAUGGAUUAAGCUCUUUCAGAUAAGGAAAGAAAUAUGGGGCUUCCAGCACAGCAAGACGAAUGCUGAACUUAUUGUCCAUUACCAACUCAUGUUCUUGUGAACAUUGCCCACAUCCUCCUCAUUUAUAUUGCUUUCUUUUGCUAUGGCUACCUCAAGCAGUAAAUAAUCAUGUUCCACUACGCAUUUUCUCUGCCCACUACCCAUCUGGGACAAUAAAUAAAAAAAAAAAAACCAACAUAUUUGCUGAGCCAUAAUCUUGACCAAGUUCUUGUUCUUGAUGAUUUGGUUAUUACAAAUGUGUUGUUCUUAUUGAUGCUUGGGGUAAAGUUAUGAAUGCCCUAAAGCUCCUGUCUUCUGGUUUUUCUCUAGGUGCAUAAACAUGCUCAGGAAUGCUAUAAAUAGGGAAGAUAAUUUGUAAGGAAAUUGAAUUUAAGUGUAGUUGAAGCAAAUAGAGGGCAAGCAAGCUAGAAGUUGUGAAUAAAAUGAAAUAAAAAGAGGGAGCUGGCAAGAAAUUGUUAUUUAUUUAUGCAAAUUGCAGUUAAGAUAUUUUCUAAAGUAAGUAGACCUGCUUAUUAUUUUCUGUGACAGAGAUUACAGUUGCUUUUUCCCUUCUGUUCUCUUCUGUUUUUUCUUCUAUUUCUUUUCCUUCUCUUUAUUUUGCCUAGAGUUUUAUCUCCUCGUAGCCUGAGACUUUCAUAUAAUUCUAUUUACCUGUUGUGAAAUAUAUUUGUGUGUUUAUUUAAAAAGUCAAUUCCUUCUGUAACUACAAUAGUAUAGUAAUAAUCUCCUUUAGCUGGAUUUUAAAGUAUUCAUGUAGUCUUGUGAUUUUUUUUUUUAAGCCAGCCUAUAUAGCCAGAUUAUAGCAGAAAUUCUGCUAUAUCUUUCUAUUCUCUGCUGUACUUAUUUCUGUUAGCUGUACUUUGUUUAUCCCUGUAAUUGCAGUCUUCCUCUAAUAACCUCGUUAUUUUGUAGCUUUUUCCUUGUGGUAGUUGUACUCUUCUCUCGAAUUUCUGAAAUGACUGCUUUUUGUCUGAGGAAAUUUGUGUAGAUAUCAUGUUGUCAUAGUUGUCAUAAAGGCAUUACUAAAGGUUAAAUCUAUUUGUCCUGUUGGUAUUUUAUGUAGAAUCUAACUAUAGUUUAGAUCACUUCUGCUAGCUUGAGAGUACAUUUGUGCCGUACUUGGUUAAAACUACCUUUAGUAGCUAGCACUCAAGGGAUAAGUAAUCGAAGCCUUCCAUUUCCUUUUUGCUGUAACUUAUUUUGGCGAGGUUAGUGAGUAUGGUUGAAUACUGUCUUCUGUCUUUUCCAUAUCUGCUGAGAUGUUUAUCUAACAUGAUUUUUGUUCCUGGAGCAGAGCACUUGCAGAGACAGUGCUUUCUAGUGAUGUCAGGAAAAUGACUGAAUGAGAAGAAAGAUUAAUCUCUGGUAUGCUUUAGUGUAGCAUGAGUUGCCUUGAGAGCUCUCACUUGUUCCUGUUAGGUGCUUACGUCUUGAAGUCACAGUGCACAGCUCUAGUGCCCAUAUCAUCAGAGACCUGAAAUCCUUCUAAUGCAGAAACAUGAAAAAAUAGACCAUAUGAAUGUCCUAAAUGAAUUUGAAAAGUACUACGCUCAGUAUAUCAGCAGAGUUUUCAUUUAGAGAUUGAUCACUAAAAGCAGUUUCUUUUUUCUUUGUGAAAUGGAGAAACUAACAAGUUAUGGUUUAUGUAGUUGCAUAGCUUGUGCAAUGCAACACAGGUAGUGCUGCUGUGGAAAGCAAAAUAUUAACCUUUUUUUAUUUUGUGAUGCUUAACAUCUUAGCUUUAAUAUUCUAUUUUCUUUCUUCAAUUUAUUCCCUCAAUGCCUUUGGUGAUCCUCACUUGUCAUGCCAAGUUCCUGCAAACCAUGCAGAUAGUGGCCCAUGCCUUUUAUUCAUCCUGGAAGACACCCAACAUGCUUUUGGGAACUGUAAAAAUAGUACUUUUAAAUUUGACACUGAACAUGGGGCAUGAUUAGCAUCAGCAGCAGAUCCACCACCUGUAUCAUCCAAGUCUGUUUGAUUUCAUAGGUAGCUGCUUUUCAUUCCGUGUCAUAGAAUUCUACUUUUUUGUGCUAUUUUAUACUACGCAGACUUUUUGCUGCCUUGGUUAUCCCAGGGAAUGAGUGUGUUGCACUAAGUGAACAAUCUAGCAUCUGUUAUGCUUUAUCCUUUCUCCCACUACUUCCUUGUGGAGUGAAUAGCAUGUGUGUGAGAUAUAAGGCAUAAAACCUGUAAGAUUUUAUUUUAUAAUUAUAUGCCUAUUUAUUUAUAUGUUAAUUUGUAUAUACUAGUUAUAUAGCCAUCCUCCUCAGAAGUCCAUAGUGUUAGGGGAGGAUAGGCAGAAAAUAUCUAAAAGGAGAAUAAGCUGAAACUUUUUACUGCCAUCAAGGUUUUGUUCUCUUCUAAAUCUCUUCUCUACACGACUAUAUUUUUCCAUUUUGAAAAAUGAAAUUCAAGCUGUUUUAUUCCCUAAAGUGCAUUCAACUAUGAGGGCUAUGCAUGAUUCAGAGCUCUGAAAAUUUCAGCAAUGCUGUUUAAAGGUUAUCCCUGCCUCCUAUUUUUGUAUUAUCACACCAGUUGAUUUGGAUGGAGACAAUACUGACAUAACUGUUUGGGCAGGGUCUCCAGAGCUAUUGUCCCUCACAGCUUUGAAGUUUUUGCAGUACUUAGUUGAUUGAGACUUCAAAUCUUGGAGAGGAUGAUGCAAAACAGUGGUUCUACUGCAGUGCUGGUGAGGGAAUGUUGUGGAAACACACACUUACCUUGUGCCCCAUUCCUCUGCUUUUAGGAAUGCCUACCUCUUCAGUGUGAAUAGGAGAAAUAAAUACCUUCUGUCCAGCAGCGGUUGAUUUUCUGCAUUCUGUUUUGAAUUCUUAAGUAAUCUAAAUUCUCUUCCAGGAAAGGCUUCUAUUGAUAGAAAUAUUUCUGCUGUUGGUUAUCUUUGAGAGGGUAUUACUCUACUAGCCUCUUGUUCUAAACUAGCAGCUAGUAUAGGAAGAGCUGAUGUGGCACAGUCAGCAAUGAAAAUGAACUUGAACGUUCUGUAUUUACAGUUGUCAAUGAGACAUCCGCUUCACCAGUCUGAUUUUCCUUUGCAUGUGCUUUUUCUUCCUGGGACAUGCCUAGUGAUCAAGGUGCUAUUUAUCACUCUCACAGUGCUAGAUAGAACAGCCACAGCAGCAAAGAUCUAGAAUUUAAAAAUGAAGAGAAUGACGGGUAGAUAAGGAUAGAAGGGAAAUCAAAAGUUGAUAACAAAUGCACAAAGUACUUGAACAGGUACUGCAUCACAGCAGUCUCUUAUGGACAACCAAAUUUUUAUCAAAGUUCAAACAGUGAUUUCACAUGCGAACUCUGAGCUGCUGUUUCAAUUUAUCAGAUGAGAUGUAAGAGGGCAACUAGUAAUGGUCUGGUUAGAUAAAGUAUUUCAGUAAUGAGGGCUGCUAUGAAAAUAAUACCUCCUAUUUUAUUAUGUUGGUUCAUUACAUUAAAGGUGGUUGUUGGUAGUAUGACAGUAGAAGCUGCAGGUUCCCACCAGUAUUCCAUUGUAUUUUGUUGCUGUGUGACAGAUGGCAGCAGUGGGGCAAUCUGAUAAAAUGGCAUCUGACAUGGAAGUGUGUAUGAAGCAAAUGUGUAGAAUUGGAUUCCUCCAUGCAGAAAAAAUUGUGCUCAUUGGUAUUCAUCAAAGCUUGCUGUACACUUUUGGAGGCCAAACAGAACGUGAGCACAGUGACAGUGGGUUACCUCCACUGGUGCAGAAUCUUACAAGCACAGCAGACGAGCUCUUGCUCAUUGCUGGUAGAAAAUUCAUAGCUAAUGGUGGUGUCUAUUUUGGAAAAUAGUGUAAAUAGUGUUUUGUACUUUAAAAUUUGCUAUAUCAAAUAGUGUUAUUGUGCUCUUUGUAUCAGUUGUAGUUUCCAUGGAGAAAAAUGGGGGGGCAUUAUUUUUUGAGUGACCUACGUAGUUCUCUGCAUCAGGCUAUAUGAAGGAUAUAAUUACACGAUUUAAUUACAUUUUAUAAAAGAGAUACUUUUUUUACUGUUGUUUUCUUUGGUGUGUGUUUUGAAAUGACAUUUUGUGUUUUUUUACAGGUUUAUGCAGUCUGAGACAGUGAUACAAAUAGCUACUCAGAUUCUGCAGUGUGUACGCUGGGUGAUAUAUGUUAACCUGGUAAAUCAUUGGUUCUUACAACAGGCUGCAAUUUUCUGCAGUGGAGAUUAAGGAUUAAUCCAUGCCAUUGCUCUUCUGAAAAUCAGACUGGGUUAUCAGUGCCAAUUGCUGAAUCAAACCAACUAGCCAAGUAUUAGCAAAUUAUCCUUGGAGGUUAUUUAUACUAUCACUUUGUCAAGCCUGACAGAGAAGUCAUUUAUUUAGCAAUGGAUAUGAUGGCAACUUCUAUUUAAUUUCUUUCCUGUGCUAUGCAGACCUCUUACAACUUAAAUUCUCUGGUGAUGUUUUGUAAAAUGUGCAAAAGUAGCACAGACUCUUGAUUAGAUUCCACUGGCCUAAGGACAAAAAGAGCCUAUUGCUUUUCCCUGUAGCAUGUUUCCCCCUUACUCAUGCAUGGCUUUUGCUAUUACGGCAACCUUCAGUGAUAUUGAAUGUAUUUCCACCAUCUUGGCAUUUCUGGUUUCAAAUGGAGUAGGUUGUUUUUUAUUUCUGGUUAUUUCAUGUGAAUCAUUUUGAAAGGUUGUCAAAUAUAUAUUUUUCUCUCCCAGAUAUACAGUCUGGUGAAUUUUGCAUACCUUUGAAGUCCACAGAGAAAAACUAUUAAAUUACUGUGACUUCUUUGAUAUACGAUAUUUCAUUAAUGGAAACUGAGAAUCCAAACAAAUGGAAGAUCAAGUGGUCCAUAACUAAAUGGAGCACUACAGAAGGAUAAAAUGAACCAGACUGGGCUGGAGGGAUUAUAUGCUGACAUAUGGAAAGUGGUGCAGAUGGAUUUCCUCAAGAUUAAAUAAGACAACUAAUAGUGUAGACCUUUGCCACCAGGCUAACUUGCAAAUUCCUUCUUUCUGAAAUCUAAUUUGAUUAAAGCGAAAAGCUGAAAGGCAAUUCUGAUUUGCUAACACUUUGCAUGGCUCCCGUGAAAUCAUGUAAUCUGAAAUUUUUUGUGUUGCAUGUAGUAGAGGUUAUGACUUGCAGAUGCAUGAAAUUCUAUGCAUGUAAACAGUUCCAUUUUGUGGAAUUUUUUAAAAAUGUUGUUUAGCAGCUUUAGUUCUGUGGAUACUCUGACAUUUUACGAUACAUAGAUUGAGUUGGAAAGGGAAGGAGAGGAUCAUAAUGAAAGAUACUGUGGGGGUCAGCAAGAGUCUGUAAAACUCAUCUUGAGAUUCUCCUGAUCAUCUUGCUUGGAGUUACACUUUGUACUUGGUGCUGUGUUAUCAGGGAUGUGAAUGGGAGCUGCAACUACAGAUCAUGGAACUGCUUGCAGAAUGGCAGUCUAGAAUUUGUGUUGAGAACACCCUUAACUUGUAUUUUCCUGGGUAGACCUGCCCACGUUCCCAGGUCAUUUGCUGAGUUGGAAGAAGAAAAGCAAAAAUAGGUACCUACACAUAGCUAAUCAACAUUUUCCCAUAGAAAGAAAUUUAAGUAUGCCACUGUAAGCUAAAGGAAGUUGGUACUUCUUUUAGAGGAAGCCCUCUAUGACAAUAUGAUAAACCCAUCCUUUGCUACCUGUUAUGAUAUCCAGUGCUUCAAUGCAGUAAAAAUUAUGUUGAUGAGAACUCUUCAUUAAGGGAAUCUACUGAGAAAACAGGUGUUAUCUGAAGUCUAGAAUGGACACGUACAAUGUGCCUGAUUCUCAAUAUGGGUGUCAAUUUAAAGUAAGGUUGAUUAAAGGGUCUCUUCCGAUACUAUUUUCAGUCCCAAGUCUGUACUUCAGUGACUGACUUCCAAAAUGCUUACUUGUUGCUUACUUGUUGUCUUUUCUUUCAGAUGUAGUUACAGGUGGCUGCCUUAGUGUGAAAUUCAUGUUGGCUAUUUCUUUGUCUCUGGUAUUUUCACCUCAGUAGUAGCUAGCAGAGUCUCCACAGCAUGUCUCAGUGUCCUCUAAUUCAUUCACACAAACAAUGUAAUGCUAGCAGGGCAGCACCUUGAUUGAGAUUAGGCUCCAUGACUGAAUGAUGUUUCUAUUGAAUUCGUACUAACGUCGCCUGCAAGAUUUAUUUUUCUGCCCUGCAAAAGAGUUGACCUUUGUGUGCCAUAUGAUUUUCUAUUCAGACUGCAAUAUAGUGCCAGAAGCUUCCUUAUUUCUGUUAAUAUCAAAUGUGCAUAAUACCCAUUUUUGGUCUUCAACUCAGCUACUACCUAGAGGUUGCAGCUCCUGAAAUUGUGCAGAAGUGUUAAUUUUGCCAAACUUCAGAGAAUAUGCACUAGGGCAAUAUUUUAUUAUUGUUAUUAUUAUUACUUUUAACACUGAAGUUGGAAUUUAAAUAAAUAAAAACUUAGGUUUAUCUGUCAAGCAAAAUGAAAGCCCAAGAUCUAUUACUGUUAAACUUAAUACUAGAGCUAAAGAAUAUUAUGCCACUGGUCAGGAAUAUGCCCUAAAAUCCAACAAUUUGGUGGUGAUUGACAAAUGAAGUAAAGCAAGAGGUGUGUUGUUGUUGUUUUUUUUUUGAAUCCUACAUGAUCUGUUGCAAAAAUUCUCAAGAUGUCUUUCUUCUGGACAUAAAUAUCUGACUUGAAGUUUUGGAAAAAAAAAACUCCUUUUCAUUACAUGUAAAAUUCAACAUGUGUCAAAUUGCUGUUCUUCCCCACCAGUUUUGCUAACAUUGUAAAUUCUUCUGUAGAACCUAUCAACAGCAGAGAUGAAUUUGGCAUUUCUUCUUUCUAGCAAAAGCUGCAUGUAUUUCUUUCAUCUGAGACCACCGAUUGCUGAUGUGUUUAGUUUUGCUUGUUCUUUUUUGCAGUAUUCCUUUGCUUUUUCCAUUAAUUAAGAUACUAUAUAAAUGCAUAUUGUACUGAUAAACCUUAAAUCAACUCUUCUAACAUGUUUGUAUGGAAAAUACUGUGAUGAGAAAGCAUGAAUUCUUCAUUUAGUGUUGGCCUUCACUGCAUUGCAGCACUGUGUUCUAACAAAUGGGUUCGUACACCCCCAGGUACCUUCUGUAACUCCUUCCUCCGUUUCUUCUAGUGCAACACUUAGACAAGACAACACCUAAGUAAAAGUUACAGCAAAGUCUAUAGUUUUCAGGACAAGGCAAUUAUUUGUCGUAUUUUCAAAGUUGGUUGUGCUUGUCAUCAAUUGUUUCUCUAGGUGGUGUGUGAUGGCCAUGUAGGAGGAAGGACAUGAGAGUGAAGCCUUCACAGGUGAAGUGAGGUUUCUUUUUUACCUUUAAAGGAGAGUAGCACCAGGCUGUGCCUUCCUGCCCUUUAACAGACACAAAACAUAAGUAGUUAUAUAUUCCUCUUGUCCUCAAAACUCAUAUGGCUUUACGUAGUUCCCCUCCUUUUCUGUAGUUUAACUGUAUUUUUUGUCUCUUGGCUGAAGGAACAUUAAGGAUCACUGGGAAUCUGAGUCCCCUUUGCCUGGUCCUCAGCACAGCAGUGCUUGAGUACUCAGCAGGUUUUCUCCUACCAGCUAUAGAGGAAGAAAUACUCAAGGCUGCAGGAAGUUAUGUUUCCAGAAAGACAAGAUAAAUGAAAGAUUGCAAACAUCACAACAGACAUUCACUAGGUCUGAACUGUGUCAGUACUGGAUAUAGGAUGCAAACUCUAUUUUGGAAGAAGGGAAGGCUUCCAGGGAAAGGGAGAGGUAAUACUAAUAGAGGAAAAAGAUGUUUCUCUCUGAGAUGAGGGGAGAAGGAAGUGAAGGUUAAGUUGUAGACAUUAGCCCUUUCUUCUUUACAAUGAAAUAAUGUUUCUUGUUUUAAAGUGUUGCCUUCAAUGCUGUUGAAUGCUACUUCCUCUGCAGGCCAGGGAGACAUUGACCAAUGUCCUCUCCCGAACUCCUCACAUCAGAUAGCUGUCAGCAGUAUCUCCAUUUCCCAAGUUGUUUGACAACUCUAUGGGCUUAAAAGAAAGUCAGACUCACAUGGUGAAGAAGCAAUAUUAUGAAUUAAUUGAUGGUUUGUGACUUAAGGUUUGUGAGAUGAAAAUCAAGGUGAAAUACAGGCAGGAUCUAAGCUGUGCUAAAGAUGCUGAGGUAUUGAGCUUGUCAGAGGGAGUCAGCAUAGUUCGCAUAAACAAUAGGGAGUGCCAGCAUGCUGAGAGAACCUGAGGCAUGGAAAAAAUGAUUAACAUCAUGUUGUAGAGGCAGACUGUGUUAAGAAGAUACAAUUGUAUUUUUUAAUGCUUGCAUGGAAUAAUUAAUGGAAAAACUGAGGCAGAGAAGCGGGUGGCUUGACUAGGAUGUCACCACAAAUAAUUUCAGAAUCAAGACCACUUCUACAAAGUGAAGCUUAAGGAAGUAGAGGUCUUUUUUAAUCUGCACAUAUUUGAAUUUAGGAAAAUUGUUCAAAAUUACACCUGGAGUGCAAGAGUUAAAUCUAAUGCUGGGAAUGUCUGCUCACGAAUAUUUGUCAUCACUCAGAAUAACACUAGUUUGAGUAGUUGGCUGCUUUCUGUUGCUUUGUUUGGCUGUAAAGCAGAAGGAUUGGAACAGUGAAAUAGAUAUUUUAACACAUACACAGGCAAAAUUCCAUUUGUUUUUUCAUCCAAAACAAGUGGCCUUUUAGCUGUUGUGAUAAGUCAAAAAUCUAGAUAUUUUCCUCAAUUUUAACAGGAACUAGAGGUAAAGAUCUUUUAGGCCAAAUAUUCAAAAUGGUCUUACACCAUCUUAAUUUUUUUGAUUUAAUAUGGUUAUUUUGGUUAUCUUGCUGUCCUCAGAAUAACUGAUUAUCCUUCCUUUUGGACAAGAGGCCAAAUGAGUGAAGUUCUACGUUUAAGUUGUAUGACUUAAAAUUACCUAGGGGGUAACUAAUGUAGAAAUAGUAGAAAGUAGGUAAACAUCUUGAAUACAAUGGAGCUGCUGCCAACACACAGCCAGAGACCAGAUUAAGAAUCAAAAUUUCAGAAGUAAGUAUGAGGGAAGAUGUGUCCAUAUAACAGGAUGAUUUAUUUUUGCUAUUAUGUUUUGUUUCUCUUCUAGGCCUCCACAGAAAACUGCUUUGUGGUCUUUCCGUAUGGCAUCACAGAAAAAGGUAAGGUAGUUAAGGAGAAACUUGAAAUGGAAGUUAAAGUUCUCAUCUUAAAUAAUAUCAUAAUUUGGGUUUAGUUCACUCUUUUAUCAGUUAUUUUUAGUCAUUUUUUUUAAUUUAAGGUGAUAGUAAUUUUCAUUAAAAUUUGAACAUGCCACUCAAUCUUUCAAAGUUAAUGAUUUCUUACUUAUAAGUUAGGUUUAGCUGGUUUUUAAAUAACAACAGUAAGAAAUCUCAUUUCCUAAAAUAAAUAAUAAAAAAAAACUUCUCUAUCCAUUAAUUCAAUUAUUUUUCUUUCCAAACUAACUUAAACACUUCAGUUCUUGUCCUAACAAUGCACAAAAGAUUUCCUUACCUCUUAACUUGUUUUAUCUCUCCUUGAGUGAGUUUUAAAUCUGAUUGCCUGACUGGACAUGAGCCAGUCUGGGCACUUACACCUCAGAAAGCCAGCGGUCUCCUGGGCUGCAUCAAAAGAAGUGUGGCCAUCAGGAUGAGGAAGGUGAUCCUGCCCCUCUAUUCCACUACUGUGUGACCUCACCUCAAGCCCCCAGGCUCCCAACAUAAGAGAACAUGGACCUGUAGUGGGUCCAGAGGUGGGCUGCAAAGAUAACGAGAGGGCUCUAGUGCCUCUCCUAUGAAGGCAAUUGGGACUGUUCAGGCUGGGGGAGAGAAGUUUCUUGGGAGCCCUCGUUACAGCUUUUCAGUUCUAUAAGAUGAAAAGAGGCUUCUUUACAAGGGUCUCUGGUGAUAAGACAAAGAAUAAUAGUUUUAAAUUGAAAGAUGGUAGAUUUAAGUUAGAUAUGGAAAAAAUAAUCUUCUGUAAGGGGUGGUGAGAAGUAGUGGAUUUUCAUACCUGGAAAUACCAUACCUGGGGCUUUGGCCAACCUGUUCUAGUAGGAGGUGUGCCUGUCCACAGCAAAGAGGUUUUACUAGGUGAUGUUUAAGGUUGCUUCCAUUCCAAACCAUUCUGUGACUCUAUGAUUUUAUGAACUUGUAGUUCUGUGAUUGAUUUCACUGGUUGGAAGAAUAUUUCCUCCUCACCAAAUAUUGUUUUUGAAAGUCCUUAUUAAACAGAAUUUUUUCUUCAUAUUUCUAGCCAUCCCAAGGUCACAUUGAUUACAAGUAAUCACAUACUUAGUUUAAGCAGAAGAAUAUGUAGAAUCAAAUUCAUUUUCAGCUAUUGUUGCAUUUUAUGGUUGAUCUGCUUGAGAUAUAUAUAUGUAUAUACAUACAUAUAUGCAUGUUCACAGUAAUAGUAGAGAUCACUUUCAGUCAAAAAUGUACCUUGAAAUAGGUGGCUAAGUGAUCAGAGGAUCUUCUGUGACAAACCAAAAAAGAAAAUGAAAAUUGUAGAAUCAUAAAAUCACCAAGGUUGGAAAAGACCCACGGGAUCACCUAGUCCAGCCAUCCACCCAUCACCAAUCAGUUCUCCUUAAACCACGUCCCUCAACACAAUGUCCAGACGUUCCUUGAACACCUCCAGGGUCAGUGACAAAUGUGCAUAUGAGAAUGAAAAGACAGACAGGAAUUAAUCUGGCUGGGUAGAGGUUUUAGACCUGCAUUUCAAGGCAAUGGAACAAAUUCUGUAAUUGUUUCCCAAUGCUUAAAAAAGAGAACAGGUGGGAAAACAGGUUUUUGUUUUUUUUUUUCCUUUUGCUUCUGCCAUUAUAGCAAGUUGCUUUCAGACUGAAAAUACCAAUGGAAGAAAAAUAUAUUGCUCAAUAGUAAAACUCAUCUACUAGACAUAAUUGACUGGGAAACAGUGUAUGUAAAAUUUGCUUGUCAAGAAUAAGUACUCUAUCUUUAUGUAAAGACUUAACAAGAACUUAACUGUGAAAUGCUACUGAGAUAUUCAACACAAAUGAGCUUCUUCAUUAUUGUAUGAUAUGCCUCAGAAAAUCUCUUUGCUAUCUACUCUUAGACAUUAUGUGAAGGACUAGUCAAAUCCUCAGUGUAAUGCAAAUGGACAAAUUUAAAAACUACAACAUGGUUUUAUUUUAGUACCUUUCAUUUCUCCAUUGUAUAAAAGCACUUUUGAAAGCAAGAAGCUGAACAUUGACUCACUAUGCAUCUUGAAAUGAAAACAUCAUUUUGCACUCAGCAAUAGACUGUAGGGAAAUUUGAGUAUGAGAAUAGUAUUAGGGGCAGUGAAUCAGGCUGGAAUUAUGACAGCUCUCUGACAUUAUCCCUAGGUGUUCUUGCAAAAUGGCCCAGAUUCCAGAUGAGAUGCAGUCCUUAUGGAGGUUCUGAAAUGCUUCAGUGUGUUUUCCCUUUCUAAUUUUUAUAGCCCUUGAAAUUUUGGGAAUUGACCUGUAAUUAAGUGCCAAGAUACCCUGAGAGAUGCUGCUGUUGCAAAGUUUCCAGCUGGAAUCAGAAGUGUUGGGAAUCUUGAAGGACUGACAGUUGUAUUGAAUCUACUCUGAUUUGCACAUUUGAGAGGAGUCAAGCUGAAGCACAGAUACAGGACUCACAUUUAGACAGGCACCAAUUUAAUGCCUCUUGCUGUGAUCACUGUUUUUGAGAAACAAGCUGACGUUAUUCAUGAAACAAGACAUUUAAAAGUGAGACACAAAAUAAGACAUCUAAAUUGAUGAAAUAUUUAUUCUUCCAAUGUUCUAGGGAAAUUGUUUUUCCACCAUGCAUGUGCUUAGCCUGCUCUUUUAUUUUCCACUUUAUGCUGAUGUGGCAGGGGGGAAAAGUUAUGAACCUAUAUAGAUCAUGGCAUUUAAAAAAAGAAAAACACCACCACCACAACAACAAAACACCAAACACUGCUAAAAAUGAUAUUGCAAUCUUGGGUGUUAGAUUAGAGAGUAAGUAAUUGAUGAAACAAUUAAUAUAGGAGAGUGAUGGUGAAAGGUAAUCAGAGAAGAAAAAAUAUGGAAUAAUUUUCAAUUCUUGUGACACAUUAUUUAAACUCAAAUUAUCUUGAGGCAAAAUUGUUCUUGUGAUUCUAAUAAUAAAUAUUCAGAUCAAACUGUAAAUAACUAAAAAUAAGAUAAUCUGUCUUUUUGUGUGUUUGAGAAUGAACGACUCAGCAUUUGAGUUAGACCUACACUAUUUAAAACCAG
ensembl:lncRNA